rnacentral:ncRNA from 1 species
GGCCAUGAUUAAGAGGGACGGCCGGGGACAUUCGUAUCAUGCCACUAGAGGUGAAAUUCUUGGACCGGCGCAAGAUGGCCCAGAGCAAAAGCAUUUGCCAAGAAUGUUUUCAUUAAUCAAGAACUAAAGUCGGAGGUUCGAAGAUGAUCAGAUACUGUCGUAGUUCCGACCAUAAACGAUGCCAACUGGCAAUCCGGCGGCGUUAUUCCCAGGACCCGCCGGGCAGCUCCCAGGAAACCCAAGUCUUUGGGUUCCGGGGGGAGUAUGGUUGCAAAGCUGAAACUUAAAGGAAUUGACGGAAUGGCACCACCAGGAGUGGAGCCUGCGGCUUAAUUUGACUGAACACGGGAAACCUCACCCGGCCCGGACACGGACAGGAUUGACAGAUUGAGAGCUCUUUCUCGAUUCCGUGGGUGGUAGUGCAUGGCCGUUAUUAGUUGGUGGAGUGAUUUGUCUGGUUAAAAAUCAUCAAAGUAACUCUUAGAUAAGAGGCACUUACUAAAUGUCAAGGUAAAAACUGCAAUAAGAGACUCUAUGGCCAUGUUCCUAGCUUUUGGAAUAUAUAAUUUCGAUCAUGUGGAGGGUAAUCAAAAAUGCUCACAGCUAUAAGUAUCUGGCUGACUUUUCAUCUUUCCUGAACAUCACCCUAACCUCUAUAGUCUCUAGUUGCUUUGAUUACAAUCUGCUUACCCUGGAGGGUCACAGCUCACUUGAGAAGAAGUAACUUCACAAGAUAGAAGUUUUGCUACAGGCAGAUCUCCUAUUUUUUUGUUUCAUGUGUCCAGAUCAAGU